rnacentral:tRNA from 1 species
GCCCGGGUGGCGAAACUGGUAGACGCAGCGGACUUAAAAUCCGCCGGGGGCAACUCCUUACCGGUUCGAUUCCGGUCCCGGGCACCA